rnacentral:rRNA from 1 species
CCCUGGAACGGGGAUGGCUAUUACAUGCAGUCGAGCGGACAGAUGAGGAGCUUGCUCCCUGAUGUUAGCGGCGGACGGGUGAGUAACACGUGGGUAACCUGCCUGUAAGACUGGGAUAACUCCGGGAAACCGGGGCUAAUACCGGAUGGUUGUCUGAACCGCAUGGUUCAGACAUAAAAGGUGGCUUCGGCUACCACUUACAGAUGGACCCGCGGCGCAUUAGCUAGUUGGUGAGGUAACGGCUCACCAAGGCGACGAUGCGUAGCCGACCUGAGAGGGUGAUCGGCCACACUGGGACUGAGACACGGCCCAGACUCCUACGGGAGGCAGCAGUAGGGAAUCUUCCGCAAUGGACGAAAGUCUGACGGAGCAACGCCGCGUGAGUGAUGAAGGUUUUCGGAUCGUAAAGCUCUGUUGUUAGGGAAGAACAAGUGCCGUUCAAAUAGGGCGGCACCUUGACGGUACCUAACCAGAAAGCCACGGCUAACUACGUGCCAGCAGCCGCGGUAAUACGUAGGUGGCAAGCGUUGUCCGGAAUUAUUGGGCGUAAAGGGCUCGCAGGCGGUUUCUUAAGUCUGAUGUGAAAGCCCCCGGCUCAACCGGGGAGGGUCAUUGGAAACUGGGGAACUUGAGUGCAGAAGAGGAGAGUGGAAUUCCACGUGUAGCGGUGAAAUGCGUAGAGAUGUGGAGGAACACCAGUGGCGAAGGCGACUCUCUGGUCUGUAACUGACGCUGAGGAGCGAAAGCGUGGGGAGCGAACAGGAUUAGAUACCCUGGUAGUCCACGCCGUAAACGAUGAGUGCUAAGUGUUAGGGGUUUCCGCCCCUUAGUGCUGCAGCUAACGCAUUAAGCACUCCGCCUGGGGAGUACGGUCGCAAGACUGAAACUCAAAGGAAUUGACGGGGGCCCGCACAAGCGUGGAGCAUGUGGUUUAAUUCGAAGCAACGCGAAGAACCUUACCAGGGUCUUGACAUCCUCUGACAUCCUAGAGAUAGGACGU